GACGAACGCUGGCGGCGUGCUUAACACAUGCAAGUCGAACGGUGAAGCCCUUCGGGGUGGAUCAGUGGCGAACGGGUGAGUAACACGUGAGCAACCUGCCCCUGGCUCUGGGACAACCACUGGAAACGGUGGCUAAUACCGGAUACGACCCGCCUCGGCAUCGAGUGUGGGUGGAAAGUUUUUCGGCUGGGGAUGGGCUCGCCGCCUAUCAGCUUGUUGGUGAGGUGAAGGCUCACCAAGGCGACGACGGGUAGCCGGCCUGAGAGGGCGACCGGCCACAAGGGGAAUGGGAGACGGCACGGGCUCCUAGGGGAGGCAGGGGGGGGGAAUGUUCCAAAAGGGGCGAAGGCGUGAAGCAGGGCCGCGGGGUGGGGGGUGACGGUGUUGGGGUUGAAAACCUUUUGGUGAACAAAAGAAGGGAAGGGGGGGGGGGGAAGAAAAAAAACACGGGAAAACUGCG
rnacentral:rRNA from 1 species